UUCAUUGAAAACACGGGGAUAGUGCCCUAUAAUCAUUAUUGUCAGCCUUUGGUUGACUAUGAUGCUAAACGCGUUUUGGAAUAAGCGUUGUGGACCCGGGGGCAGUACCCGGCGGCUCCACCAUUAGUGAUUAUUUAUCAAAUACUUAGUCACUGACGGCGGGGCCGAAACAGGAUCGACACGCGUGGUAAAGAGAAAGUCUGCAUCCGGCAUGGUACCACCGAUAUCGGGCUAUAUUAUAGUUGCAAAUGACAACUUUAAAGUCGCAGCCAAUGAUAACAACGGACUCGUUGCUAUCGCUGCCUAAUUUAUUAGGUAGUUAUUAACUGCAAAUCAAUUCCUCUUCUAUUGACCUAGAUUUGGUGGGGGUCGGCGGUACCUAGCAACAGAACACCGCCAUU
rnacentral:tmRNA from 1 species